rnacentral:rRNA from 1 species
UGAGGAAUAUUGGUCAAUGGGCGCAGGCCUGAACCAGCCAUCCCGCGUGCAGGCAGACGGCCCUAUGGGUUGUAAACUGCUUUUCCAGGGGGAGAAUUUUUCUGUCGUGACAGGAAUUGACGGUACCCUGGGAAUAAGCAUCGGCCAACUCCGUGCCAGCAGCCGCGGUAAUACGGAGGAUGCGAGCGUUAUCCGGAUUUAUUGGGUUUAAAGGGUGCGUAGGCGGAUAGAUAAGUCAGUGGUGAAAACCUGCAGCUUAACUGUAGACUUGCCGUUGAUACUGUCAGUCUUGAGUAUGGUCAAUGUAGGCGGAAUGUGUAAUGUAGCGGUGAAAUGCUUAGAUAUUACACAGAACACCGAUUGCGAAGGCAGCUUGCUGGGCCAUUACUGACGCUGAUGCACGAAAGCGUGGGGAGCGAACA